rnacentral:lncRNA from 1 species
GCAGCGGAACUGAGCUGGGGGGGGGGGUGGCUUGGGCAGGGGGUGCCUUUGAGGGGCAGGGUGGGCAGAGGUCCCUUGGGUGCGGGGUCCUGGGGCCGGGGGGCCCUGUCCUGUCCUGUGUCACCAGGAGCUGGUGAGUGGAGACCGUGCCCAGCAGUGCCUGCAGUGGGGCCACUGCUCCCCACUGGGUCUAUCCCCGUGCCCCUUUCCCUUCCCCACACCCCGUUCUCACCCACACAGUGCCCUGCGUCCUCACCCCCGUUAUGUUUCCAGCACGCUUUGUUCCCAGAUGUUUAAUUUCAGCUCCAGCGCUGGGUUUCCAGCCCGGUCCCAGCUCCAGGCACUGCACACACCUGAUGCUCCAGCUCAUUUCAGCGCUGCCUAAUUACAGCUCGUGCCCUGCAGCUCAGCUCCACGCGGGCUGCUCCAGCUCAUGCCCUGCAGUUGAGCUCCAGGUCUACAUUUUUAAUUCAGGCCCUGAGUUCCAGGCCUUCAUUCAGCCCCAGCCCUGCAUCUCAGUACGCACCAGCUCGUGCCCUGCCGGCCAGCUCCAGCUCUCACGGCUCAGCUCCAUCCCUGUGGCUCAGCCCCAGAGGCCGCACGCUGCAGGUAAGAGAUGCUCGGGCUUCUCCCAGCUCCAGCCACCUGAUGCUGUUUUGCCUUGUGUUUUACCACCAGCACACUGUUUUCAGCUCAUAUCCCUGUGUUCCAUGCCUGGAUCUCCAUUCUCAGUCAUGACCUGUGUCUUCAGCUCAUGCCAGUGUAUAGAUAGUGGCUGACACUUAUUUAAUUGUGAUUUUGUUCCUGGGUUUCACCACCAGGAUGCUGUUCUCAGUUCACAUUUUAGCUUGUGCCUGCUGUUUCCACCUUGGGUCUUUAUUUUCUUUGUGACCUGUGAUUUCAGCUCAUGCCAUUGUACAAAUAUAUAAGCCUGUGGCCCCUGUUUCCUCCCUCCAGAUCUUUUUUUUCAGUUUGUGUCCUGCAUUUCAGCUCCAGCCCCUGGACGCUCUGGUUCCUUUCAGUCUGAGCUCCCCAGCUGGGCACUAGCAGUGAUGCUCAGCAUCCAACCACCUGUUUUGAGCAGGUUCUGACAAGGCCAUAAAUCCAUCGCUGCCAUAACUGGGGUACCAACAUUAACCACCACACCUGUACGCUGCGUAAAUAGUGCCUGGCACAAGCACCAAAUAAAGAGUUGAACUGCAAAGUCGCCUUUGGCGCC